rnacentral:misc_RNA from 1 species
AAGUCGUAACAAGGUUUCCGUAGGUGAACCUGCGGAAGGAUCAUUAUUGAAUAAACUUGGUUGGGUUGAUGCUGGCUCUUUGGAGCAUGUGCACACCUAGCGCCAUUUUUAACCACCUGUGCACCUUUUGUAGACUUGGAUACCUCUCGAGGAAACUCGGUUUGAGGAUUGCGCCAGCUUUCCUUGCAUUUCCAGUCUAUGUUUUUACAUACCCCAAUAAGAAUGUAACAGAAUGUCAUUAAUUGGCCUUUGUGCCUUUAAAUCAAAUACAACUUUCAACAACGGAUCUCUUGGCUCUC